rnacentral:rRNA from 1 species
UACGGGGGAUGCAAGCGUUAUCCGGAAUGAUUGGGCGUAAAGCGUCCGCAGGUGGCUGUGUAAGUCUGCUGUUAAAGAGUGAGGCUCAACCUCAUAAAGGCAGUGGAAACUACAUGGCUAGAGUGCGUUCGGGGCAGAGGGAAUUCCUGGUGUAGCGGUGAAAUGCGUAGAGAUCAGGAAGAACACCGGUGGCGAAAGCGCUCUGCUAGGCCGCAACUGACACUGAGGGACGAAAGCUAGGGGAGCGAAUGGG